rnacentral:rRNA from 1 species
AGAGUUUGAUCCUGGCUCAGGAUGAACGCUAGCUACAGGCUUAACACAUGCAAGUCGAGGGGAAACGGCAUUUAGUGCUUGCACUGAAUGGACGUCGACCGGCGCACGGGUGAGUAACGCGUAUCCAACCUUCCCAUUACUGUGGGAUAACCUGCCGAAAGGCAGACUAAUACCGCAUAGUCUUCGAUGACGGCAUCAGAUUUGAAGUAAAGAUUUAUCGGUAAUGGAUGGGGAUGCGUCUGAUUAGCUUGUUGGCGGGGUAACGGCCCACCAAGGCGACGAUCAGUAGGGGUUCUGAGAGGAAGGUCCCCCACAUUGGAACUGAGACACGGUCCAAACUCCUACGGGAGGCAGCAGUGAGGAAUAUUGGUCAAUGGACGUAAGUCUGAACCAGCCAAGUAGCGUGCAGGAUGACGGCCCUAUGGGUUGUAAACUGCUUUUGUAUGGGGAUAAAGUUAGGGACGUGUCCCUAUUUGCAGGUACCAUACGAAUAAGGACCGGCUAAUUCCGUGCCAGCAGCCGCGGUAAUACGGAAGGUCCAGGCGUUAUCCGGAUUUAUUGGGUUUAAAGGGAGCGUAGGCCGGAGAUUAAGUGUGUUGUGAAAUGUAGACGCUCAACGUCUGACUUGCAGCGCAUACUGGUUUCCUUGAGUACGCACAACGUUGGCGGAAUUCGUCGUGUAGCGGUGAAAUGCUUAGAUAUGACGAAGAACUCCGAUUGCGAAGGCAGCUGACGGGAGCGCAACUGACGCUUAAGCUCGAAGGUGCGGGUAUCAAACAGGAUUAGAUACCCUGGUAGUCCGCACAGUAAACGAUGGAUGCCCGCUGUUAGUUCACUU